rnacentral:rRNA from 1 species
UUUGGCAAAAUUUAUAACCUACUUCUUUNGAUCCCAUCAGAACUCCGAAGCUAAGCGUGCUUGGGCGAGAGUAGUGUUAGGAUGGGUGACCCCCUUGGAAGUCCUCGUAUUGCAUCCC